rnacentral:rRNA from 1 species
UACAGAGGGUGCAAGCGUUGCUCGGAAACAUUGGGCGUAAAGGGCAGGUAGGUGGUCUCAUUUGUCAGAGGUGAAAGCCUUGGGCUUAACCCAAGAAGUGCCUCUGAAACGGUGGGACUAGAGUGCUGGAGAGGGUCGUAGAAUUCCCGGUGUAGCGGUGAAAUGCGUAGAGAUCGGGAGGAAUACCAGAGGCGAAGGCGGCGACCUGGACAGCGACUGACACUCAACUGCGAAAGCGUGGGGAGCAAACAGG